GAGAUGUCUGUUUAAUUUUGUGGUGCAGUGAAUGCUUUAGCGAAAAAGAAGAGGAAUGCUGAGCUAUUUGAUUCUGAAUGUUCCCGGAGAUAGCUUGUGUUCAUUUGUUUCCAUACUAUCUGUGUUUCAAGAUGUUUUGAGAGUGGAGGAGAGCCAAAAUGAAACGAAAAGAAGAAGGGAUAUGUUCCAAGACCCCCAGUGGAUAUGUGAGACAGCAGAAAGUACUGAAUGCUGGAUAUAAACACUGUGACACGGCAAAGUCAGCCCAGUGAUCAGGAUGACUACCAGGUGACUAGGAGGCAGAUGGCAUAUACAUUCUGGAUGUGUUGGACAAAGGAAUGAUUCAUGUCUUGGGCAGGACGGAGCAAUACUACUCAGAACAGCACAUGAUUUGAAAUUUACAGGCCAGGCUCGAUGGUGUAUGCCUGUAAUCCCAGGACUCAAGAUUGUAAGUUCAAAGCCAGCCUCAGCAAUUUAUCAAGCCCUUAAGCAACUCAGCAAGACCCCGUCUCUAAAUAAAAUAGAAAAAAGAACUGGGGAUGUGGUUUAGUGGUUAAGUGCCCCCCGGGUUCAAUUCUUGAUACAAAACAAACAAAAACCUUACAAAUUGCUUUUUUUUUUAAUUUUCUUUUUUAUUUCUUUUUUUU
rnacentral:lncRNA from 1 species